CAAGAUUCAUUACAAUACAGCAAACACAUUUUAAUAGCCAAAAAUCAUCACACAAUCAUUUUAUCACUUUAUGGCAUGUAUAAAUAGACUCACGCGUGCUACGUUAGUCCUAGAAUCGACUAAACCAUAGCUCUGAUACCAAUAAAAUUGUAACACCCCGUACCCGAGACCGUUUCCGGAGUCGGACACAAGGGGUUCACAGACUAAAUUCGCUUACUAUCACAGUCCAUUUUAGAAUUUUCCAGGCAGUUGGCUAACUGCAACACUG
rnacentral:lncRNA from 1 species